UACAGAGGUCUCAAGCGUUGUUCGGAUUCAUUGGGCGUAAAGGGUGCGUAGGCGGCGCGGUAAGUCGGGUGUGAAAUCUCGGGGCUUAACUCCGAAACUGCAUUCGAUACUGCCGUGCUUGAGGACUGGAGAGGAGACUGGAAUUUACGGUGUAGCGGUGAAAUGCGUAGAUAUCGUAAGGAAGACCAGUGGCGAAAGCGGGUCUCUGGACAGUUCCUGACGCUGAGGCACGAAGGUCAGGGGAGCAAACGGGG
rnacentral:rRNA from 1 species